CAGCAGCCGCGGUAAUACGAAGGGGGCUAGCGUUGCUCGGAAUGACUGGGCGUAAAGGGCGCGUAGGCGGUUUUGACAGUCAGAUGUGAAAUUCCUGGGCUCAACCUGGGAAUGGCAAUGGAUACUGGCAAGCUAGAGUGUGUCAGAGGAUGGUGGAAUUCCCGGUGUAGCGGUGAAAUGCGUAGAGAUCGGGAGGAACAUCAGUGGCGAAGGCGGCCAUCUGGGACAACACUGACGCUGAGGCACGAAAGCGUGGGGAGCAAACAGGAUUAGAUACCCCCGUAGUCCCUGUCUCUUAUAC
rnacentral:rRNA from 1 species